GGGCCCGCACAAGCGGAGGAACAUGUGGUUUAAUUCGAUGAUACGCGAGGAACCUUACCCGGGCUCGAACGGUGAGAGAAUGACCUGGAAACAGGCAGCCAGCAAUGGCUCUCAUCGAGGUGCUGCAUGGUUGUCGUCAGCUCGUGCCGUGAGGUGUCGGCUUAAGUGCCAUAACGAGCGCAACCCUUACCGUUAGUUACCAUCAGGUCAAGCUGGGGACUCUAACGGGACUGCCACCGUAAGGUGUGAGGAAGGUGGGGAUGACGUCAAAUCAGCACGGCCCUUACGUCCGGGGCUACACACGUGUUACAAUGGGAGGGACAAAGGGCAGCUACUUAGCGAUAAGAUGCUAAUCUCUAAACCCUCUCCCAGUUCGGAUCGAAGUCUGCAACCCGACUUCGUGAAGCUGGAUUCGCUAGUAAUCGCGCAUCAGCCAUGGCG
rnacentral:rRNA from 1 species